rnacentral:lncRNA from 1 species
AUGAGGUCAAGCGGUGCAGCUGUUUUCACAAGAAAGAAUCCAUUUCCUCCGGAUCCCCCUUUGCCCAGGAGCCACUACAGUCCAUCUAGAUCCAGAAAAACCCCAAAGCAACAAAAAAGACUGGCCUUGAGUCCUGUCCGGUUUACUGAGCCACCCAGUCCUUCAGAUCUUCCUACUCAGGCGUCACCUUUGAGGACAGAGGACCAGGUCCUCCAUGAAAGUGUCCUGCUCUGUCCCCCUUCUACUGAAUGCCAGCUGAGCUACUCCGAGUCUUGGCCUUCUACUGACCUGAGUUGCUCUACAGACAACAAUAACACUUCUGUCUGCUCUGAAGUUCAGAUGCAAGCCAUGAGAAACAUGGUUGCACCAACAAUAAUUGAGGCAAAGGAACCCUCAGUUCUUGCAAAGUACAUUGAACGCUUCCGUUUCGGAAAGCCACAGAGUCCAGACGAAAGACGACUUCAGGCAGCUGUUGCAGAAGAUGACCAGCCGUUUUGGUGGAUGUCCACAUCGCCUGCAUCCAGUUCAACACCAACACACCCAUCAGAGAAAUAUAUCAGAGCACCACUUGACCUCAUGAAGGAUGACCCGGCCAGCACUCAGAGCCCAAUCACAAAGCUACAGCAUGAUGAAACCACGCUGUCUCCAGCUAGACACAUGCUCGACCUUAGUAUGCUGAUGCAGCAGAAUUUUGUUCAUGAAAUAAAAAAAGGAAGACAAUUGCCUUGUCCAAAUACCCACACUUGCGGUCUUGGCCACUUGAGAGCACGUGGGCGAGACAGGAAGUAAGUGCGCAAGACUGUCCCAGGUCUUAGAAACGGCAAAGCACAGUGCCCUUAAUGCACACUAAAUCCACACUAUCUCGAAUACUGCUCUGGAGCGCUAAUCGAGGCUUAGUGUAUCCCAUCAUGUUCUGGAAAUAAAUCGUAAGACUUUUUGCCAAGAUCUCGCGAAAGGUCACGGAAACCUUUACAUUGUACAAACCCGAUUCCAAAAAAGUUGGGACACUGUACAAAUUGUGAAUAAAAACAGAAUGCAAUGAUGUGGAUGUUUCAGAUUUCAUUAUUUUAUUCAGAAUACAACAUAGAUGACAUAUCAAAUGUUUAAACUGAGAAAAUGUAUCAUUUUAAGGGAAAAAUAAGUUGAUUUUAAAUUUCAUGGCAUCAACACAUCUCAAAAAAAGUUGGGACAAGGCCAUUUUUACCACUGUGUGGCAUCCCCUCUUCUUUUUAUAACAGUCUGCAAACGUCUGGGGACUGAGGAGACACGUUGCUCAAGUUUAGGAAUUGGAAUGUUGUCCCAUUCUUGUCUAAUACAGGCUUCUAGUUGCUCAACUGCAUUAGGUCUUCUUUGUCGCAUCUU